UGGGGAAUAUUGGACAAUGGGCGCAAGCCUGAUCCAGCCAUGCCGCGUGAGUGAUGAAGGCCUUAGGGUUGUAAAGCUCUUUCGCCGGUGAAGAUAAUGACGGUAACCGGAGAAGAAAGCCCCGGCUAACUUCGUGCCAGCAGCCGCGGUAAUACGAAGGGGGCUAGCGUUGCUCGGAAUCACUGGGCGUAAAAGCGCACGUAGGCGGAUUCGUUAAGUCAGGGGUGAAAUCCUGGAGCUCAACUCCAGAAACUGCCCUUGAUACUGGCGAUCUCGAGUUCGAGAAAAGGUUGGUGGAACUCCGAUGUAGAGGUGAAAUUCGUAGAUAUUCGGAAGAACACCAGUGGCGAAGGCGGCCAACUGGCUCGAUACUGACGCUGAGGUGCGAAAGCGUGGGGAGCAAAACAGGAUUAGAUACCCUGGUAGU
rnacentral:rRNA from 1 species